rnacentral:rRNA from 1 species
GAUGAACGCUGGCGGCGUGCUUAACACAUGCAAGUCGAACGAACAGCGGUGGAGGCUUGCUUCUAUCCAUCUUCGUCGCGAACGUGUGUGUAACGCGUAUUCAACCUGCCCUUCAGAGGGGGACCACAGUUGGAACGGACUUCUAAUCCCGCAUACGAUCUAAUCUCGGCAUCGAGGAUAGAUGAAAGGUGGCCUCUACAUUUAAGCUAGCACUGACGGCGGAGUAUGCGUCUGGUUAGCUAGUUGGUUGGGAAACGGCCCACCAAUGCGAUGAACAGUAGGCGGUCUGAGAGGAGGAAUGGCCACAUUGGGACUGGGACACGGCCCAGAACUCUACGGGGGGGAGCAGUGGGGAAUCUUCCGGCAUGGACGAAAGGCCGACGGAGCAACGCCGCGGGAGGGAUGACGGCUUUCGGGUUGGAAAGACCUGGUAAUCGGGAAGAAAGGCAUUCGUGAGAAUAGUGAGAAGGAUUGACGGUACCGGAACAGAAAGCCACGGCUAACUACGUG